UACAGAGACUGCAAGCGUUAUUCGGAUUCACUGGGCGUAAAGGGUGCGCAGGCGGCCGUGUGUGUGAGGCGUGAAAGCCCGGGGCUUAACCCCGGAAUUGCACCUCAAACUACAUGGCUAGAGUACUGGAGAGGGUAACGGAAUUCACGGUGUAGCAGUGAAAUGCGUAGAUAUCGUGAGGAACACCCGAGGGGAAGGCGGUUACCUGGACAGCUACUGACGCUCAGGCACGAAAGCGUGGGGAGCAAAACGG
rnacentral:rRNA from 1 species